rnacentral:rRNA from 1 species
GCCAGACUCCUACGGGAGGCAGCAGUGAGGAAUAUUGGUCAAUGGGCGCGAGCCUGAACCAGCCAAGUCGCGUGAGGGAAGACGGUCCUAUGGAUUGUAAACCUCUUUUGUCGGGGAGCAAAGCGAACCACGUGUGGUUCAUUGAGAGUACCCGAAGAAAAAGCAUCGGCUAACUCCGUGCCAGCAGCCGCGGUAAUACGGAGGAUGCGAGCGUUAUCCGGAUUUAUUGGGUUUAAAGGGUGCGCAGGCGGAUUUUUAAGUCAGCGGUCAAAUCGUGGGGCUCAACCCCAUCCAGCCGUUGAAACUGGGGAUCUAGAGUGUGCGAGAGGUAUGCGGAAUGCGUGGUGUAGCGGUGAAAUGCAUAGAUAUCACGCAGAACCCCGAUUGCGAAGGCAGCAUACCGGUGCACAACUGACGCUCAGGCACGAAAGCGUGGGUAUCGAACAGGAUUAGAUACCCCCGUAU